AACAAGCCAAUUCAAACGUGUAUAGCUGUAUUAUGGUAUAGACAUGCACUUGCAUCUUCCCUACAAAAUUCAAUCAACAAUUAUAUCACACCACUAUCAACCAUCGAUUCAUCAAUUCAAUCAACAAGGUAUAUCUUCGAAUUCAGGUUAGGCCUAACUCUACCCAAAAAGCUAGCUCAAGGGUGAAUUAAGCCUAACCCAAAUUCUAAGAUAGUAUCAGAGACUUGUUUCAAUCAAAUGAAAAGAACACUUAACUCUUAACCAACAGAUUUGAAUUGAUUGGCUAAAUUUCUUACCCUCCCAGUGCGUCCUAAUAUGGUGCUGAGCAAUGCUAUCCAUUUUUGGCAAGAAAUUUCUAAGUGCAUCUGCAUUGAGAAAGCUUAAGAGCAACCUCUUUGUCAACUUUGCUUCAUCACCAACCUUAUUAACUAGAGACUGCCUUAUCAGCUUCCUCACUGAGCUGGGCCACCACACUUGGACAUUCUUGUUCUCAUUGCUGAACAAGAACUUGUUCCCAGCUGGUCCACAAAACACAGCCAUAUGAUAUCCAAGCAAUGAUGUCUUGAACACCCUUGAGUCAUAUUUGUUCAUUCUCUCCUCUACGAACCUUGACGGGGUUCCCUCAGGACUGUUUCUGAGAAACUCAAAGGUGUCUCCAACAAUAGGCCAUCCUGAGGUUCCUGGAGGAAGGUUCAGCGUUGGAUUCUUUCUGAGUUUGACUAUUUUGGUGAAAAAAAAAAAACUUCAAAAUAUCAUGUUCAGGGUAAGAAUAUAUAGAUAUAGUAGAGUGGUUGCCACUGGCCAGCAAAAUUACAACACAACAAUCUUACACAGCAGAUUUUUUAAAUGUUCAGGGAUUUUAUAGCAAACCUUUCAACACACGUUCAUAAACUUCAGGUAACUGUCCGAGAUACUUCAUGACUGAUGAUAACACUGAUCUAGAAGUAUCAUGACCAGCAAAAAGCAAUAGUAAUAUGUUAUCACUAAUCUCCGUUUCGGUCAAAAACCUUCCAUUGGUAUCAGAUGUAACAAGCAAAUGUGAUAAAAGGUCCUUGGUAGGCGAAAUCCUAUUUUCUUCCAAAUCCACUUUCUUUUUCUUAAGAAGCAUUUUGAUUUCUUUUUUUAUUGCAUCCGCAGCUUUCAUUGCCCGAUGAAACCUUGUUCCAGGAAAGUUAAUGGAUAAUGCAAAGAUCCCUUUCAGAAAUACAUCAAACAGUGAAGAAAGAUUUGCUACCUGGCUAGAGUUUCCAAAGCUUAAAAAUAAGCAACAAGCCAAUUCAAACGUGUAUAGCUGUAUUAUGGUAUAGACAUGCACUUGCAUCUUCCCUACAAAAUUCAAUCAACAAUUAUAUCACACCACUAUCAACCAUCGAUUCAUCAAUUCAAUCAACAAGGUAUAUCUUCGAAUUCAGGUUAGGCCUAACUCUACCCAAAAAGCUAGCUCAAGGGUGAAUUAAGCCUAACCCAAAUUCUAAGAUAGUAUCAGAGACUUGUUUCAAUCAAAUGAAAAGAACACUUAACUCUUAACCAACAGAUUUGAAUUGAUUGGCUAAAUUUCUU
rnacentral:lncRNA from 1 species